rnacentral:rRNA from 1 species
CGAUGGAUACUAGCUGUUCGGAGCAAUCUGAGUGUCUAAGCGAAAGUGAUAAGUAUCCCACCUGGGGAGUACGCACGCAAGUGUGAAACUCAAAGGAAUUGACGGGGGCCCGCACAAGCGGUGGAGCAUGUGGUUUAAUUCGAUGAUACGCGAGGAACCUUACCAAGGCUUAAAUGUAGUUUGACCGAUUUGGAAACAGAUCUUUCGCAAGACAAAUUACAAGGUGCUGCAUGGUUGUCGUCAGCUCGUGCCGUGAGGUGUCAGGUUAAGUCCUAUAACGAGCGCAACCCCUGUUGUUAGUUGCCAGCGAGUCAUGUCGGGAACUCUAACAAGACUGCCAGUGUAAACUGUGAGGAAGGUGGGGAUGACGUCAAAUCAUCACGGCCCUUACGCCUUGGGCCACACACGUGCUACAAUGGACGGUACAGAGAGCAGCCACUACGCGAGUAGGAGCGAAUCUACAAAACCGUUCUCAGUUCGGAUCGGAGUCUGCAACUCAACUCCGUGAAGCUGGAAUCGCUAGUAAUCGGAUAUCAGCCAUGAUCCGGUGAAUACGUUCCCGGGCCUUGUACACACCGCCCGUCAAGCCAUGGAAGCUGGGGGUGCCUGAAGUCGUGACCGCA